rnacentral:lncRNA from 1 species
GAAGUUAAACAUACGACAUGAACUGAAUUAACCAGCGCGCACGACUAGUAAAAAAACAAACAUCCUUUGAUAUCAAGUUUCUAAUUAAAUCAUGGCUGCGCCUGGGCAGCGUUAAUAUGAGAGUGAAAGUGGACGUGCUGCUACUCCCCUCAUUCCCAACAUAUAUCAAGUACCUGCAUUGAGUAAUGCAAGAGUGAGAUGACACAUCUCAGCAAGUAAAAUAAUAACAAACUGUUUAACCACAUAAGAACAUUGUUUUACCACCACUUGAUUUCACAACCUUCUUAUUACGAAGGUGCAGCACGAAUACAACGUACAACACACCUAGUUACCACACCUCGCAGGUAGAAACCACAAUAGUAACAUAGUAAUGUCACACUUCAUAUAUACCUCAUGAGUGCAAAUGUCUGCAAAUGCAAGGAUGACUUCUGCCUUCAUACCUCUAAGGAUAUGAAGCCGCAUCGUACCUCUCCUCGGGCAACGUACGAUGCUAAAAGUGUACCGGUACGGUCGGACCAUAAGAUCACGACAUAACUUCAAAAUGCAAGAUGGAUGAUGCGAUGUGCAUGACAUGCCUACAACACUUCAUACGACGUGAUUCAAAAAGAUACUUCAACUUCAUCCAAGAUGGGAAUCAACCACAUAUAUCAUUCCCAAAUCAUGAUCAUCCGCAAUAUUAGACAAUUGAGAAUUAAUACUUUCGAACAAUUAAACUUCAUCAUAGAAUUCAAUGAUUAACACAUUUAAUACUUAUGCAUACUCAAUGAUAAGGCAUAGGAUGCAAACCAAACGGUAGCAACCACCACUGUAUUUACUUGCCUUCACCGGCAAUUUGGAAUGGUACUAAGUACGAUCCGG